UGGUACCUAGUCCCUCACAGGGCCUU
rnacentral:piRNA from 1 species